AACCCAUCAUCUAGGUUUCAAGUCCCACAUGCAUUAGGUAUUUGUCCUAAUGCUCUUCCUCCGCUUGCCCUCACCCCGUGACAGGGCCCAGUGUGUGAUGUUCCCUUACCUGUGUCCAUGUGCUCUCAUUGUUCAACUUCCACUUAAGAGUGAGGACACACAGUGUUUGGUUUUCUGUUUCUGUGUUAGUUUGCUGAGCAUGAUGGCUUCCAGCUUCAUCCAUGUCCCUGAAAAGCACAUGAACUCAUUAUUUUUUAUGGCUGUAUAGUAUUCCAUUGUGUAUAUGUGCCACAUUUUCUUUGUCCAGUCUAUCAUUAAUGGGCCUUCGGUUUGGUUCCAAGUCUUUGCUAUUGUAAAUAGUGCUACAAGAAACAUAAGUGUGCAUGUGUCUUUAUAGUAGAAUGAUUUAUAAUCCUUUGGGUAUAUACCCAGUAAUGGGAUUGCUGGGUUAAAUGAUAUUUCUGGUUCUAGAUCCUUGAGGCAUCACCACACUGUCUUCCAUGAUGGUUGAACUAAUUUACACUCCCACCAAAAAUGUAAAACUGAUCCUAUUUCUCCACGUCCUCUCCAGCAUCUGUUGUCUCCUGAUUUUUUAAUGAUCUCCAUUCUAACUGGCAUGAGAUGAUAUCUCAGUGUGGUUUUGAUUUGCAUUUCUCUAACGACCAGUGAUGAUGAGCAUUUUUCAUAUGUUUGUUGGCCUCAUAUAUGUCUUCUUUGGAAAAGUGUCUGUUCAUAUCCUUCGCCCACUUUUGAAUGGAUUUGUUUGUUUUUUUUCUUGUAAAUCUGUUUUAGUUCUUUGUAGAUUCUGAAUAUUAGCCCUUUGUCAGAUGGGUAGAUUGCAGAAUUUUUCUCCCAUUCUGUUGGUUGCUGGUUCAGUCUAAUGAUUGUUUCCUUUGCUGUGCAGAAGCGCUGGAGUUUAAUUAGGUCCCAUUUGUCUAUUUUGGCUUUUGUUGCCAAUGCUUUUGGUGUUUUAGUCACAAAAGCCAAAAUAGACAAAUGGGACCUAAUCAAACUCCACAGCUUCUGCACAGCAAAAGAAACAGUCACUAGAGUGAAUCGGCAACCAACAGAAUGGGAAAAAUUUUUGCAGUUUACCCAUCUGGCAAAGGGCUGAUAUCCAGAAUUUACAAAGAACUCAAACAGAUUUAUAGGAAAAAAACAAGCCCA
rnacentral:lncRNA from 13 species